CCCCUGGCAACCGCGGCCGCGCUGUCCUAUAUCAAGCGCGUCGUCCGGGAGCGAUCCCGACCGACUAUGGUGAUAAACACGGCUCGGGAUAAGCGUUGCGGACCCGGGGGCAGUGCCCGGCGCCUCCACCAUUCCCCCAUAUGCGGGGGCUUCGGGGGCGAAACAGGCUCGACGCGCGUGGUAAUGGGGUCGUCUUUGCCCGGCAUGGUUCCGCCGUCAUCGGGCCAUUGAUAAGUGCGAACGAUAACGACGCACUCGCUGUUGCUGCGUAAGCAGUAAACAAGCGCGGUUCGGGGGGCACCGGGCAACAGAAGCCCCCCACU
rnacentral:tmRNA from 1 species